GCCUAGUAGUAUGGGAUAGCCACUAGAAAUGGUGGGUAAUACUGUAUAAUCCCUGCGGGGGAAAGAUUUAUCGCUACUGGAUGAGCCUAUGUUAGAUUAGCUAGUUGGUGGGGUAAUGGCCUACCAAGGCUGUGAUCUAUAGCUGGUCUGAGAGGAUGAUCAGCCACACUGGAACUGAGACACGGUCCAGACUCCUACGGGAGGCAGCAGUGGGGAAUAUUGGACAAUGGGCGCAAGCCUGAUCCAGCUAUGCCGCGUGAGUGAGGAAGGCCUUAGGGUUGUAAAACUCUUUCAGCAGGGAAGAUAAUGACGGUACCUGCAGAAGAAGUCCCGGCAAACUCCGUGCCAGCAGCCGCGGUAAUACGGAGGGGGCAAGCGUUGUUCGGAAUUAUUGGGCGUAAAGGGCAUGUAGGCGGUUUGGUAAGUUAAAGGUGAAAUGCCAGGGCUUAACCCUGGAGCUGC
rnacentral:rRNA from 1 species